GUGCCAGCAGCCGCGGUAAUACGGAGGGUGCAAGCGUUGUCCGGAAUCACUGGGCGUAAAGGGUGCGCAGGCGGGGCAGCAAGUCGGAGGUGAAAGCCCGUGGCUCAACCACGGAAGUGCCUUCGAAACUGUUGGAAUUGAGUACAGAAGAGGAGAACGGAAUUCCUGGAGGAGCGGUGAAAUGCGUAGAUUUCAGGGAGAACACCGAUGGCGAAGGCAGUUCUCUGGUCUGUAACUGACGCUGAGGUACGAGAGCGUGGGUAGCGAACGGGAUUAGAUACCCCGGUAGUCC
rnacentral:rRNA from 1 species